rnacentral:rRNA from 1 species
CAUGAACGCUGGCGGCGUGCCUAAUACAUGCAAGUCGAACGAGUUCUCGUUGAUGAUCGGUGCUUGCACCGAGAUUCAACAUGGAACGAGUGGCGGACGGGUGAGUAACACGUGGGUAACCUGCCCUUAAGUGGGGGAUAACAUUUGGAAACAGAUGCUAAUACCGCAUAGAUCCAAGAACCGCAUGGUUCUUGGCUGAAAGAUGGCGUAAGCUAUCGCUUUUGGAUGGACCCGCGGCGUAUUAGCUAGUUGGUGAGGUAAUGGCUCACCAAGGCGAUGAUACGUAGCCGAACUGAGAGGUUGAUCGGCCACAUUGGGACUGAGACACGGCCCAAACUCCUACGGGAGGCAGCAGUAGGGAAUCUUCCACAAUGGACGCAAGUCUGAUGGAGCAACGCCGCGUGAGUGAAGAAGGCUUUCGGGUCGUAAAACUCUGUUGUUGAAGAAGAAUGGUCGGCAGAGUAACUGUUGUCGGCGUGACGGUAUCCAACCAGAAAGCCACGGCUAACUACGUGCCAGCAGCCGCGGUAAUACGUAGGUGGCAAGCGUUAUCCGGAUUUAUUGGGCGUAAAGCGAGCGCAGGCGGUUUUUUAAGUCUGAUGUGAAAGCCCUCGGCUUAACCGAGGAAGCGCAUCGGAAACUGGGAAACUUGAGUGCAGAAGAGGACAGUGGAACUCCAUGUGUAGCGGUGAAAUGCGUAGAUAUAUGGAAGAACACCAGUGGCGAAGGCGGCUGUCUGGUCUGUAACUGACGCUGAGGCUCGAAAGCAUGGGUAGCGAACAGGAUUAGAUACCCUGGUAGUCCAUGCCGUAAACGAUGAAUGCUAGGUGUUGGAGGGUUUCCGCCCUUCAGUGCCGCAGCUAACGCAUUAAGCAUUCCGCCUGGGGAGUACGACCGCAAGGUUGAAACUCAAAGGAAUUGACGGGGGCCCGCACAAGCGGUGGAGCAUGUGGUUUAAUUCGAAGCAACGCGAAGAAGCUUACCAGGUCUUGACAUCUUUUGAUCACCCGAGAGAUCAGGUUUCCCCUUCGGGGGCAAAAUGACAGGUGGUGCAUGGUUGUCGUCAGCUCGUGUCGUGAGAUGUUGGGUUAAGUCCCGCAACGAGCGCAACCCUUAUGACUAGUUGCCAGCAUUUAGUUGGGCACUCUAGUAAGACUGCCGGUGACAAACCGGAGGAAGGUGGGGAUGACGUCAAAUCAUCAUGCCCCUUAUGACCUGGGCUACACACGUGCUACAAUGGAUGGUACAACGAGUUGCGAGACCGCGAGGUCAAGCUAAUCUCUUAAAGCCAUUCUCAGUUCGGACUGUAGGCUGCAACUCGCCUACACGAAGUCGGAAUCGCUAGUAAUCGCGGAUCAGCACGCCGCGGUGAAUACGUUCCCGGGCCUUGUACACACCGCCCGUCACACCAUGAGAGUUUGUAACACCCGAAGCCGGUGGCGUAACCCUUUUAGGGAGCGAGCCGUCUAAGGUGGGACAAAUGAUUAGGGUGAAGUCGUAACAAGGUAGCCGUAGGAGAACCUGC